UCAUUUCCACCUCUUCUAAACGGUCAUGGUUGCUCAUUUUCACUCUUCUAAGCACCUCUUCUUUACAGCAACAAAAUCAGAAAGCAAAUUCAGGCAACCUUAACCAAUGGUGAGUCAUGGUUCCUCAUUUCCACCUCUUCUAAACCCCUCCUCUGAUGGUCAGGACCCUUCUCAUUCCUCAAGUAGUAACUAUUCAGCACUUUACCACUUCCCUUGAAUCUCUGACCCAUUAUCUUUUUCGUCUUUCUCACAGAAAAUAGAGGCAGCCAUUUAAGUACUUUCUCAACUUACUCUCCAACAAAUCUGAUUCAAAUACUUUCAUCUGUAGUUUUACCUUCUCUCUAGUGUCAAAACCUGAGGUAAUCCUAAACCUCUUCAAAGACAAGUCAUUCUCGGUGUGCUACUCUGUUCUGUGUCUUCAAACUGGGCUCCUUUGAUUAUUGCUACCUCUCUAUCGUUAGCCUUUCUACUGGCUCUGUCCUCUUAGUAUUUAUUCAUGUUCAAGUACUUCCCAACCUUAAAAAAAUAACCUUGACCCAACAUCCUCUUUACCUCAACUUCACUUCAUAAAAUUUUAAAGACAUCAUACCUCAAAUCCACUAUCCUACCUGUCUUAGUCUAUUUUAUGUUGCUAUCACAGAGUACUACAGAAUGGAUAAUUAAUAACAAACAGUUAUUGAUUUGGCUUACAAUCCUGGAGGUUGGGAAGUCCAAGGGCAUGGUGAUAGCAUCUGGCAAGGUAGCAAGACUUCAUGCUGUGUGAUAACAUGGUGGAAAGAGCAAGAGGAUGUGAGCAAGCAAACAAGAGGGGGCUGAACUUGCUUUUAUAACAAAGGCACUCUCAUGAUAACUAACCCACUCCGUCCAUAACAUUAAUUCAUCCGUGAGGGUAGAGUCUUCAUGACUUAAUCACCUCUUAGUAGACUCCACCUCUCGAUGCUGUUGCUUUUGGGAUUAAGUUUCCAACACAUGAACUUCAGGGAACACAUUCAAAUCAUGGUACUACGUUGCAUCCAUAUUACAAUCUGUUGUGAUCUACUUUUGCUCCCACAGGUCCAUUAAAACUGUACUCCAUGAAUUUCUGGUUGCUAAAUACAAUGAACAUUAUUCAAUCCUUAUUCUUUCAAUCUCUUGGCAGAAUACUUUCCAGUUGACCAACAGAGUCUUGUUGGCUUUUAUAUCCCUUAGACCCAAAGACUUACAGGGCUUGGCAGAGUUUCUGGCAACAUAACGAAAUCUGAAAAUUGACGAAAGAUUUAGAAUGGAAAAUAAGUGGAUGCCAAAUGGUGAAGGCUUUAAAUGCUAAACUGUGGGGACUGGCUUUUGUUUUGUAGGCAGUGAUAAUCUAGAAAGGUCUCUUAGCAGGAAAGUAGCAUUACCACAUCUUUUGGGAAGUAAAUUCUGGGGCAGUUUAUGGUUUGGAGCAGUGGUUUCCUUUUUCUCUUUUUUUUUUUUUUUUUUUUUUUGAGACAAAGUCUUGCUCUGUCACUCAGGCUAGACUGCAGUGGCACAAUCACGGCUCACUGCAGCGUUGACCUCCUGGGCUCAAGCAAUCCUCCCACCUCAGUCUCUGCCCCACCAAGUAGCCAGGACUACAGGCCUAUGCCAUCAUGCCAGGCUAAUUUUUAUAUUUUUUGUACAUACAGAGUCUUGCUACAUCGCUCAGGCUGGUCUUGAACUCCUGGACUUAAGCAAUCUACCGGCCUUGGCCUCCCAAAGUGCUGGGAUUAUAGGCAUGCGCCAACGUGCCCAUCCUAAAGCACAUUCUUAACAGGAAAACUGACAUCUGCAUUACCAAGAGGUUUAAUUUCUCUUCAGAAUCUUCCCAGCAGAUUCAGUUGACUCAAAAGGCAGCCCAUGUGGCUGAGGGUUAGUUUAGAUAUGCAUUGGCUCUUAGCAGUUCACCUCUGGAAAUGAAUUUCAUAAGAUCUCAGAGUAGAACACAGGACAUAGACCCAGUGGAAGAGGUUAGGUUUAACAAGAGUUCUGAGUUGCAAGCUAGAGAAAGCAACUAGUUGACUUAGGCUAUAAAGGAAUUUAUUCAAUGGGGAGAGAUCACCCAGAAGGCUGGGAAACUGAGCAUGAGCAAAGCCUAACAAAUUCAGGCUUAGAAAAGUUAGUUUCUCUUAAUGUCAGUUAGUUAAAGCUAAACAGGAGCACUUCAUUUGUAGUCUGGUACUCUUUCCAAACCAGACUCUUGGUCUCCAUUUCCUCUCCUG
rnacentral:lncRNA from 10 species